rnacentral:rRNA from 1 species
CCUACGGGAGGCAGCAGUGAGGAAUAUUGGUCAAUGGUCGUACGCCUGAACCAGCCAAGCCGCGUGAGGGAAGACGGCCCUAUGGGUUGUAAACCUCUUUUGUCAGGGAGCAACGCCUGCGACGUGUAGCCGGACUGAGAGUACCUGAAGAAAAACCAUGGGCUAACUCCGUCCCAGCAGCCGCGGUAAUACGGGGGAUGCGAGCUUUAUCCGGAUUUAUGGGGUUUAAAGGGGGCGUAGGGGGAAGGCAAAGUCACCGGUAAAAGCGCGGGGCUCACCCUCGCUCGGCGGUUGAUACUGGCAGUCUUGAGUGGGCGAGAAGUAUGCGGAAUGCGUGGUGUAGCGGUGAAAGGCAUAGAUAUCACGCAGAACUCCGAUUGCGAAGGCAGCAUACCGGCGCCACACUGACGCUGAGGAACGAAAGCGUGGGUAUCGAACAGGAUUAGAUACCCUUGUAGUC